UCACCAAGCCCGUUGGGCAAAGCCGCCGCUAAAGCAAAACCCGCAAGAACCUGCGAAGUCUCGCGAAAGCUUAUCGCCAGUUCCGCCGCCGUCGAACUCCUCCGCUCGCUGCCGUUUGCUUCCGCUGCUGCGGUCUCCGUGUUCCCGCCCCCGAGGCCCGUUCAUGGCGAUGGCGCUACCUUAGGCAGGGCACUUGGACGGCUCCUCCGAGGGCCCCUCGUCGGCCUUGAGCCCCACCUCCAUUCUCGAGAUUAAGCUGUUCUGCUGCGUCGCGCUGCGUGCCCCCGUUCCUGUCGGAGCGGAGCCUCAGGCGCGCACCACGUGGACGCGGCCGUCGCGCCAAAGCCGGCUAGCGUUGGCCUCGCUGACGUGCUCCUGGACCACGGGGACGCCAAGCUUGGCGGCGCAAGGUGGUGUUCAGGUCCCAGCUCCGGAUCCAGACCCCUUCCGGCAGGGCCGACGAGCUGGUGUCCUCUCCAAUUGAGUUUGGCUUCAAGAACCAGGACAUGCAGCUAGCAUUGCUGUCGCUCGCCAGGAGGUUCCUGCCGGAGGUGGUCAGCUCGCCGUCCUCUUCCCCCAAGUGUACUCCCAGGUUGUGGUUGAAGGAAGAAUAGGAUCUGCAGUUACACCUUUUCUUUACUUGAAAUAUUGUGAGAUAUGAGUUCUUUCGCUGAACAUGUUCAUCUCAGAUGUUGUAAUCUGUCCCGAUUCCCGAGUUGUUAGUUUAAUUCAUUCGAAUAGAACAAUAUGAGGAUCCUGAAUGUUAAUGCCUUUCUAAAUCAGUUGUUUUUUUCUA